rnacentral:tRNA from 1 species
GGGCUCUUAGCUCAGUGGUUAGAGCAGGGGACUCAUAAUCCCUUGGUCGUAGGUUCAAAUCCUACAGGGCCCACCA